CUAAAACCAUGCCAGAAACAGUUGACUCAUGUGUAAGAGGACCAUGGUAAGGGCAGGAGUCAAGCAACUGGAUCUCCAUCCCACUGGAACUGGGGCUCAGCAUGGAGUACAGGGCUGGGAUACAGACAACCCCCUUCCAAAUAAACCAAUAUGUGGGUGUGGAACCUUUGUACCAGCAGAAGCCAGCAGGUUUGGAAAGGACUAGAGGGAAUCAGCCCAGGUCCACCCCAAAAAAGAAACAAACAGCUCUUUGGCAGCAACAUCUCCCUUCUUCACAUUUUCUCUAUGGUGAGGCUUUGUAGCAGUGGUUCCUGGGCUUGGCUUCAGGUUAGAAUGACCCAAGGAGUAUCCAGGACUUUUCAGAACAACUCAAUCAGAAUCUCUACGGUGGAGCCAGAUUCUUGGACAGCCUGGAACCAGAGAAUGUCCUCAGAUGUGACAUAGGGAGUGGUAGCUUUUCACAAAAUAGUUUAUGGGGCAGACUGGAGGAGACAGAUCUUCACUUCCCUGGUCUCAUUCAGGGACUCAGGAAUUGAACUUGGGACCUUGCACUUGUGAGGCAGGCAGUGGAACCACCGAGCUAAAUUCCUGGCCCCCAUGACUUCUAUUAAUAAAAACCAUGUAAGCUUUAAAAACGUUUUUGGGGUUUUUUAUAGGAUGUUAAAUUUUGAGUUAUUUUAGUCACAGAACUUUUAGUCAUUUACAUAAACCCUGCACAAAAUAGAACAAAGAGAAUGUUAC
ensembl:lncRNA